rnacentral:misc_RNA from 1 species
UGUUUGCUCGCAAACGAAAAAAAAAAACCGACUUCAAUUACAUCGACAAGUAAUACAACGUAGAUCGACGAAAAAAUUGUCAAGCAACUAAGCGUUAUCAAAUAUUACUUAAAAAGUAGUUAUCAGAUCUCGAUAAAAUUUAUAUUUGACCACAUGAUAAACAUCAGCUUUCGAUUAAAUUAAAAAUUAUCAAAAUCGGUACACCCAGUAAAAAGUUAUUACGGAUUUUCGAGAGUUUCCCUCGAUUUCUCUGGAAUUCCAUCAUCAGAUCCUGGUUUCCUUAUCACGGUACCAAACUAGGGAUAUCUUCUUUCUAGCAAAAAAAGAAUUAUCAAAACCGGUACAUCCAGUAGAAAGUUAUGCGGUAUAAUACAACGUAGGUCGACGAAAAAAGCGUCAAGUAAAAACGCAUUAUUAGAUAUAAGUCGAAAAGUAGUUGUUAGAU